UUGAGAACUCGCCUUUGGCAGUACCUAAGUCCCUGAGCUCUAAAAAUGAUCAGAGACUUUUCUUACUGCCUCAGGCUGGUACCUCACCUUCGACGAAGCUA
rnacentral:pre_miRNA from 1 species